rnacentral:rRNA from 1 species
CAGUCGCCGCGGUAAUACGAAGGGGGCUAGCGUUGCUCGGAAUUACUGGGCGUAAAGGGAGCGUAGGCGGAUCGUUAAGUUGGGGGUGAAAGCCCGGGGCUCCACCUCGGAACUGCCUUCAAUACUGGCGAUCUUGAGUAUGAGAGAGGUGUGUGGAACUCCGAGUGUAGAGGUGAAAUUCGUAGAUAUUCGGAAGAACACCAGUGGCGAAGGCGACACACUGGCUCAUUAGUGACGCUGAGGCUCGAAAGCGUGGGGAGCAAACAGGAUUAGAUACCCCAGUAGUCCCUGUCUCUUAUAC